rnacentral:rRNA from 1 species
CACUCCUACGGGAGGCAGCAGUGGGGAAUUUUGGACAAUGGGCGAAAGCCUGAUCCAGCAAUGCCGCGUGCAGGAUGAAGGCCUUCGGGUUGUAAACUGCUUUUGUACGGAACGAAAAAGCUCCUUCUAAUACAGGGGGCCCAUGACGGUACCGUAAGAAUAAGCACCGGCUAACUACGUGCCAGCAGCCGCGGUAAUACGUAGGGUGCGAGCGUUAAUCGGAAUUACUGGGCGUAAAGCGUGCGCAGGCGGUUAUGUAAGACAGAUGUGAAAUCCCCGGGCUCAACCUGGGAACUGCAUUUGUGACUGCAUGGCUAGAGUACGGUAGAGGGGGAUGGAAUUCCGCGUGUAGCAGUGAAAUGCGUAGAUAUGCGGAGGAACACCGAUGGCGAAGGCAAUCCCCUGGACCUGUACUGACGCUCAUGCACGAAAGCGUGGGGAGCAAACAGGAUUAGAAACCCCUGUAGUCCCA